rnacentral:rRNA from 1 species
GGGAUUGCCUCAGUAACUGCGAGUGAAGCGGCAAAAGCUCAAAUUUGAAAUCUGGCGUCUCUGACGUCCGAAUUGUAAUUUGGAGAGGCAACUUCGGUGAUGGCGCCGUCCUAAGUUCCUUGGAACAGGAUGACACAGAGGGUGAGAUCCCCGUACCUGGGUGGCUGUCCAUCGCCAUGUGAAGUGUCUUCGACGAGUCGAGUUGUUUGGGAAUGCAGCUCAAAAUGGGUGGUAAAUUUCAUCUAAAGCUAAAUAUUGGCGAGAGACCGAUAGCGCACAAGUAGAGUGAUCGAAAGAUGAAAAGCACUUUGAAAAGAGAGUUAAAAAGUACGUGAAAUUGUUGAAAGGGAAGCGCUUGAGACCAGACUCGAUUCGUGGUGAUCAGCUGUGCUUCUGUGCAGUGCACUUGCCAUGGAUUGGGCCAGCAUCGGUUCCGACGGUGGGAUAAAAGGUUAAGGAAUGUAGCUUCCUUCGGGGAGUGUUAUAGCCUCAGCCAUAAUGCCACCAGUUGGGACCGAGGACCGCGCUCCGGCUAGGAUGCUGGCGUAAUGGUCUUAAGCGACCCGUCUUGAAACACGGA